rnacentral:rRNA from 1 species
CAUGCCAGACCUUGAAAAGUUUACGUAGUAGUACAUCACAAACMGUCAAGGAUGAAAGGACUGAGCUAGGCCGAAAAAAUAUGAAUCCACCCUCUCUAGGUUUGACCUCAGAUCAGACAAGGAUACCCGCUGAACUUAAGCAUAUCAAUAAGCGGAGGAAAAGAAACCAACAGGGAUUGCCUYAGUAACGGCGAGUGAAGCGGCAACAGCUCAAAUUUGAAAUCUGAAGCUUUUAGUUUCCGAGUUGUAAUUUGAAGAGGAUGUUUCGGUUGUGACYGUGGCCUAAGUUCCUUGGAACAGGACGUCGUAGAGGGUGAGAAUCCCGUACACGGCUAACGGUUUACUUCCAUGUGUAACUCCUUCGAAGAGUCGAGUUGUUUGGGGAUGCAGCUCAAAAUGGGUGGUAAAUUUCAUCUAAAGCUAAAUACUGGCGAGAGACCGAUAGCGCACAAGUAGAGUGAUCGAAAGAUGAAAAGCACUUUGAAAAGAGAGUUAAACAGUACGUGAAAUUGUUGAAAGGGAAGCGUUUGCAAUCAGACUUGCUUUCGGUUGAUCAACGUUCCUUCUGGUUCGUGCACUCUGCCGUUUGCAGGCCAGCAUCGGUUAGGGCGGUGGGACAAAGACUCUGAGAAUGUGGCUCUCUUCGGGGAGUGUUAUAGCUCAGUGUGUAAUGCCACCAGUCCUGAUCGAGGUCCGCGAUUUUUCUAGGAUGCUGGCAUAAUGGUUGUAAACGACCCGUCUUGAAACACGGACCAG